GUUUAUCUGCAGUGUUUUAUUAUUAGUCUCAGCGUUGGAGGUUCUGGUUCUGCUGAGGGUUUCAUGGUUCUACUGAGGGUUCCUUGGUUCUGGUUCUGCUGAGUGUUCCACGGUUCUACUGAGGGUUCCACGGUUCUACUGAGGGUUCCAUGGUUCGGGUUCUACUGAGGGUUCCUUGGUUCUGGUUCUGCUGAGGGUUCCAUGGUUCUACUGAGGGUUCCAUGGUUCUGGUUCUACUGAGGGUUCCAUGGUUCUAUUGAGGGUUCCAUGGUUCUACUGAGGGUUCCAUGGUUCUGGUUCUGCUGAGGGUUCCAUGGUUCUAUUGAAGGUUCCAUGGUUCUACUGAGAGUUCCAUGGUUCUAUUGAGGGUUCCAUGGUUCUACUGAGGGUUCCUUGGUUCUGGUUGUGCUGAGGGUUCCAUGGUUCUACUGAGGGUUCCUUGGUUCUGGUUCUACUAAGGGUUCCAUGGUUCUACUGAGGGUUCCUUGGUUCUGGUUCUGCUGAGGGUUCCAUAGUUCUACUGAGGGUUCCAUGGUUCUGGUUCUACUAAGGGUUCCAUGGUUCUACUGAUGGUUCCAUGGUUCUGGUUCUACUGAGGGUUCCUUGGUUCUGGUUCUGCUGAGGGUUCCAUGGUUCUACUGAGGGUUCCAUGGUUCUGGUUCUACUGAGGGUUCCAUGGUUCUAUUGAGGGUUCCAUGGUUCUACUGAGGGUUCCUUGGUUCUGGUUGUGCUAAGGGUUCCAUGGUUCUACUGAGGGUUCCUUGGUUCUGGUUCUACUAAGGGUUCCAUGGUUCUACUGAGGGUUCCUUGGUUCUGGUUCUGUUGAGGGUUCCAUAGUUCUACUGAGGGUUCCAUGGUUCUGGUUCUACUAAGGGUUCCAUGGUUCUACUGAUGGUUCCAUGGUUCUUGUGCUACUGAGGAAUCCAUGGUUCUACUGAGGGUUCCAUUGUUCUACUUAGCGUUCCAUGGUUCUGGUUCUACUGAGAGUUCCAUGGUUCUACUGAGGGUUCCAUGGUUCUGGUUCUACUUAGGGUUCCAUGGUCCUACUGAGGGUUCCACAGUUCUACUGAGGGUUCCUUGGUUCUACUGAGGGUUCCUUGGUUCUGGUUCUACUAAGGGUUCCAUAGUUCUACUGAGGGUUCCAUGGUUCUGGUUCUACUAAAGGUUCCAUGGUUCUACUGAGGUUUCCAUGGUUCUGGUUCUACUGAGGGAUCCAUGGUUCUACUGAGGGUUCCAUUGUUCUACUGAGCGUUCCAUGGUUCUGGUUCUACUGAGAGUUCCAUGGUUCUACUGAGAGUUCCAUGGUUCUACUGAGGGUUCCAUGGUUCUGGUUCUACUUAGGGUUCCAUGGUCCUACUGAGGGUUCCACAGUUCUACUAAGGGUUCCUUGGUUCUACUGAGGGUUCCAUGGUUCUGGUUCUACUGAGAGUUCCAUGGUUCUACUGAGAGUUCCAUGGUUCUACUGAGGGUUCCAUGGUUCUGGUUCUACUUAGGGUUCCAUGGUCCUACUGAGGGUUCCACAGUUCUACUAAGGGUUCCUUGGUUCUACUGAGGGUUCCAUGGUUCUGGUUCUACUGAGGGUUCUAUAGUUCUAUUGAGGGUCCCAUGGUUCUACUGAGGGUUCCAUGGUUCUAGUUCUGCAGGACUUUCUGGAGGAAAAACGAAUAAAAAACAGGCAGAACUCUGUGCAGAUUUUUUGCUACAUCAUGCUUUGGAUGUAAUCACGUUUUGCUUCUUUCGUUUUCAACAUUUAGCAACAAACAGCUGAACUCUGGUUGUCCUCGGUGCGGCCCCCAGCGGCCCCCGGCUGUCCAGCAGGACUGCUGAACUGGUGAAGCAGCGGUCAGCACCGGGCUGACCCCGCAGCGACCCACCGCAGCUAGGAGAUGUCCAGGGAGAAGAAUGCGCUCUGAAAGCUCCUAAAGAAGUUCAGGAUCCUUUCAGAGGUAGAGC
ensembl:lncRNA